UGGGCGCGGGAGUUGGAC
rnacentral:miRNA from 1 species